CGGGUAGCGGAACACGUACGCAACCUUCCUUUAACUGGAGAAUAGCCCCUCGAAAGAGGGAUUAAUACUCCGUAACAUAUUUUUAAGGCAUCUUAUAAAUAUUAUAGUCUUCGGGCGGUUAAAGAUGGGCGUGCGCCUGAUUAGAUAGUUGGUGAGGUAGCGGCUCACCAAGUCUGCGAUCAGUAACUGGUGUGAGAGCACGACCAGUCACACGGGCACUGAGACACGGGCCCG
rnacentral:rRNA from 1 species